GACUACAGCCGUACCACCCUGAAUGCCCCUGAACUCGGAAGCUAAGCAGGGUUGGGCCUGGGUACUACUUGGAUGGGAGACCGCUUGGCAAUACUGGGUGCUGUAGGCU
ensembl:rRNA 5S_rRNA 5S ribosomal RNA